rnacentral:rRNA from 1 species
UACAUGUGGGGCGAGCGUUGUUCGGAAUUACUGGGCAUAAAGGGUGCGUAGGCGGCGCGCCAAGUCACUGGUGAAAGUUUGCGGCCCAACCGUAAAAUUGCCGGUGAUACUGGCGUGCUCGAGUGCGUGAGGGGUUGGGGGAACGAGUGGUGUAGCGGUGAAAUGCGUAGAGAUCACUCGGAAGGCCGGAGCCGAAGGGGCCCAACUGGUACGCAACUGACGCUGAGGCACGAAAGCGUGGGGAGCAAACAGG